GACGAACGCUGGCGGCGUGCCUAACACAUGCAAGUCGAACGGAGUAAUUUCUUCGGAGAUUACUUAGUGGCGAACGGGUGAGUAACGCGUGAGAAACCUGCCUUUCAGUGGGGGACAACAGUUGGAAACGACUGCUAAUACCGCAUAAUGUUAUUUGGGGGCAUCCCUGAAUAAACAAAGCUUUAUGUGCUGAAAGAUGGUCUCGCGUCUGAUUAGCUAGAUGGCGGGGUAACGGCCCACCAUGGCGACGAUCAGUAGCCGGUCUGAGAGGAUGAACGGCCACAUUGGGACUGAGAUACGGCCCAGACUCCUACGGGAGGCAACAGUGGGGAAUAGUGGGCAAUGGGGGAAACCCUGACCCAGCAACGCCGCGUGAAGGAAGAAGGCCUUCGGGUUGUAAACUUCUUUUACCAGGGACGAAGAACGUGACGGUACCUGGAGAAAAAGCAACGGCUUACUACGUGCCAGCCGCCGCAGUAAAAC
rnacentral:rRNA from 1 species